rnacentral:rRNA from 1 species
UGGGGAAUAUUGCACAAUGGGCGCAAGCCUGAUGCAGCCAUGCCGCGUGUGUGAAGAAGGCCUUCGGGUUGUAAAGCACUUUCAGCGGGGAGGAAGGCGAUAAGGUUAAUAACCUUAUCAAUUGACGUUACCGACAGAAGAAGCACCGGCUAACUCCGUGCCAGCAGCCGCGGUAAUACGGAGGGUGCAAGCGUUAAUCGGAAUUACUGGGCGUAAAGCGCACGCAGGCGGUUGAUUGAGUCAGAUGUGAAAUCCCCGGGCUUAACCCGGGAAUUGCAUCUGAUACUGGUCAGCUAGAGUCUUGUAGAGGGGGGUAGAAUUCCAUGUGUAGCGGUGAAAUGCGUAGAGAUGUGGAGGAAUACCGGUGGCGAAGGCGGCCCCCUGGACAAAGACUGACGCUCAGGUGCGAAAGCGUGGGGAGCAAACAGG